UAUAAGCAUAACAUUUAAGACUCUGUAAAUAGUGCGCUGUCGCUUUAAUUGAGUGUGAGCAGCGCAGCAAAAAUAGACUCGGCGCCGAAAUCAUCACUGCACUGCUGCUCACGCACCGCUUCUGCUCCGCGAGCACGAGCUGCUUACGCGUGCAGUAUGAAUGCUCUCAUCUGUUAACAUGUGCGCCGGAAAAAAUACGCACUGCUUACGCGUUCGGUGUGAAACGGGCGAGAGUGUCGCGCCAAUUUCGUUCACUGCAAUGGAACAGUUUUUUCACAGCAACGGCGGUUCACGGAUCCUCUCUCUCAACGGCUCUGGGUGGGGGCAGGGUGGGCAAAGCUUCUGAAACGGUGGGCAAAGCCCACCCUGGCCCCCAGCCGGGCCUGGUGGGAAUAUAGAAACACUGGCUGCAUCAGCCAUUAAAAUCUCUCAGAUAAAUGCACCCGUGGAGACCUACCGCCGCACUGUCUGCUAGACACGCACCAUGUGUAUUGCCUUUUCUGUAGUUGCUUAUGAAAACUGAACCCUUGACCUUGGCGUGACACUUUACCUAUUGAGCUACAGGAACCCCGCGGCUUUGGCACAACAUGAAGUAUGGAGAUCACCUGGAUCCCUUGAGUCUCAACUGGUGCCUUUGUUCCAACCAGUGGAUAUAAGUGAAUUAAUGGCAAUGAUCAGACCGAUGGUUUUAUUUGUAGAUUUUUUACAUUUUUUUAAGUUGUCUAUUUUAAUCCCUUAUAAUAAUUUUGGAGCUCAACAAAGCAUAAUUGUGAAACAUGAUUUGUGAAAGUGACCUAUUUUUCAGAUAUGGUGACCCAUACCUGAAAUGUGACCUCUGCAUUUAACCCAUCCAGAGAGUAGUGAACACACGCACAGCAAGUCAUGAACACACGUACACCCGGAUCAGUGGGCAGCUAACACUUCAGUGCCCGGGGAGCAAGGUGCUUGCUCAAGGGCACCUCAGUCGUUACCCGCCAGCCAUGAGAAUCGAACCUGCAACCUUCUGGUCACGAGUCCGACUCUCUAACCAUUAGGCCACGACUUUGCACAAAUAUUAAAGAUAUUAAUGUGGUUGAAAAGCUGUAUAUGACUCUUUCUUCUGUGGAAGACAAAAGGAGAUAUUUUUAGAAAUGUCACAGUAGUUUUAUGUCCAUACAAUGGAAGUCAAAGGUGUCCAUUGUUGUUCUUCAAAAUAUCUUCUGCUGAGGAAAGAAAGUCAAAUAGAUUUGGAAUGACAUGAGGGGGGAUACAUGAAGAAAGAAAAUCCUAUUCAUCCAAAAUAAUCAGUUUUAGAACAGAGAGAAGUCAUACAGUACAAUUCUGAAACCUAACUGAAACUCCAAGAGAAGCGGCUAAAAUCUUUGCACAUAUGCAGAAAAGAAAGUAAGCUGUGUUGGGGAAGGAACUGCAGAUGGUUCGGUGCAAAAAGUACAACUGAAACCAGUGUCCAUGUGCUACAUGACAACCUCU